CAAAAGGCCUUUCUUAAGGUCAUCAAUAAACUGAGGAUGAAUUUCU
rfam:Sarcophilus harrisii ctg7180002290034, whole genome shotgun sequence.